UUUCCAUGACGUACCAGAUUCUUCUUCUUCUUCUUCUUUUUAUUUUUUCUUUCCAUUCUUUCAAUCCCAUCCCAAGCGAAGGAGUGAUGAAUGAUUUCGCACUGGUAAAACUCUCUCUCACAAGUUAGAAAUAGAAUAAGAAGAUGAUCCGGAUGCGCACAAAAAAUCAACUACGUAACUUCACGCUUUUGCCCAAUAAUUCUUCGACACAUUCAAAGCUCACAUGUCCGAGCACGUACCGUAAUACUUCCAAGUCAAAAUACCUCCGUGACCAACUUUGCUUAAGCUAAUACAGGCGGUUCCGCAGCAGUCUCAGCCAUGGGGGUUUAAAGGAAAAAUCUAUUCAUAAUUUCCUAAUUUCCGUCUAGAGUAAUUUGGGAUAACUUCUGUAUCAGGUAAUUGAGAAAAGUCAACCUGUUAUACAAUCUCCACCUGCCGCUACAACCCCACCCAUCACUCCAUGUCGAAAGAAGAAGAAUGAAGAAGCUACGUACUUUCUUGGAGGAUUUUAAGGACAUAUUGAUGAGUUCAUCCAUGCAUCUAUGGAUGAACACAAUAGUUGCUGCCAGAAAGCCAUACAGAAGAUGUUUGGAAUGCCAAAGAUUGUUGCGGAAAGGAAUACUCACACUAAUGGAAUUGAAGUCUCUCUGCCAUUCCAACAGCGGUAUCAGACUAGAAUGUGUCCCCUCCUUUUCGAGGCAGCUUGCUAUCUAGAUUUGGAACAAUGAUUGUUUCAAUAAUAUAAAAUAGACUGUUUGGUAGAAUUUUAACUCUAGUAGUACUGCUUGGAAGGUUUGAGUAUGUUCGUAGAACUCUUAAAAUUGGUUUUCAGAAUAAGGAAUUUAUCUGUUGAUAUGGCUAUGUUUUCCAGUUUUGCUAGUAUGGUCCUGCUCGGAAAAGCACAUAAUAACUUUUGUUCUGAGUAAG